AGUGAACGCUGGCGGUAGGCCUAACACAUGCAAGUCGAACGGCAGCACAGUAAGAGCUUGCUCUUACGGGUGGCGAGUGGCGGACGGGUGAGGAAUACAUCGGAAUCUACUUUUUCGUGGGGGAUAACGUAGGGAAACUUACGCUAAUACCGCAUACGACCUACGGGUGAAAGCAGGGGAUCUUCGGACCUUGCGCGAUUGAAUGAGCCGAUGUCGGAUUAGCUAGUUGGCGGGGUAAAGGCCCACCAAGGCGACGAUCCGUAGCUGGUCUGAGAGGAUGAUCAGCCACACUGGAACUGAGACACGGUCCAGACUCCUACGGGAGGCAGCAGGGGGGAAUAUUGGACAAUGGGCGCAAGCCUGAUCCAGCCAUACCGCGUGGGUGAAGAAGGCCUGCGGGUUGUAAAGCCCUUUUGUUGGGAAAGAAAAGCAGCAGGUUAAUACCCCGCUGUUCGGACGGUACCCAAAGAAUAAGCACCGGCUAACUUCGU
rnacentral:rRNA from 1 species